rfam:Firmicutes bacterium CAG:882 genomic scaffold, scf8
UUUGGGAGAAACUUAGAUAUUCUCAGGGCUCUGUUCAUGAUAUAGCCAAAGUCAGCAGGGACGCUGACUUAGAUGCAAUGCAUACAAGGACGUAUGCUUUGCAUCGGUGGCGGACAUUGUUGUAAUAUAUAUCAGAGCCCCUAGAAUAUCUUGUUUCGUACAAU